UAACUAUACCCACGCAAACAAUCCGUCAAUCCGUUGUUCCAUAGCGACGUGAUUGAAGGACAACCCAACAACUAAACACACUUUUGCCAUUAUAAUACGGAUAAUGAUAGGUUUUUGCAAUGUUUACAUAUAGUUGAU